UAUUACUAUUGAUAUAAUAUGUUGUAUAUGUAGCCUACAUUGCGUGUUUGCAUAAAAGAGCAGGUUAAUCCUUUUUUGAACAGGUUUGUUGAAAAAUCCUUCUCGAAAGAAUCGUAUUUCCAAAGUACUGUCAACUGACCACAUCUUCUUCCGCUUGUCAAAAUAGUUCUGCUCAGUUUGGUGUUUUAUUACGGAUUUAUUCUCAUAGUACCGUUUCAUAAUUUGAUAUAAUAAUAUAAUAAUAUGCUGAUAUUAAAAUUAAAAAAAAUAAAAAAUGUAAUAUUCGAACUGAAGGAAUUCCCGCCCUAGCGCAAGGACACAUUCUCCUCCAAGCACGCAGUGGAGCUGCUGCGCGCGCAGAAGGAAUAACUCGACCUUCAGUUUCACGGUCAAUCUUCAAUCUGAGGCGAAAAUAAGCAGAUAAGUUCAGUGAGUGCUAAAACCAUGGUCAACAUGAAAGGUCAUAGUUAACGACCACAUCACCAUCUUCUGCAACGCUCUGAUGUUUGCUUCAUACAACUGCUUGAACAUUUCAUACCCAGGAAACCAAGGAGAAACGCAAGAGAUUGUGCAAAGAUUCCUUUUUAAGAUGAACCCCGAGAAGGGAUCGAAAGUGGAGAAGACCACAUCGAGAAAGAAAUCAGCAGUCAGUCCAAAGGUUCUUUCACUGAUUAACAAGAUUGCGGACUUUGAAAGGAUGGAGUAAAACUUGGAGUGUCAGAUCUUCCUACAUUGCCUAGCAGAAAUUCUUGACAGUGUCAAAGACUUAAAAUACUUGCUGAUUAUUUGCUUUCAUGGUUGAUUUUUUUUUUUUUUAAUGCAUCAUCUGUUGUCAAGAUGAAUUAAUCUGUUCACAGGUGGUUCAGUUUUAAGGACAAAUUAAUUCUUAUUUUUUAUUUGUUUACCAAUUUGCUAUAUUGUUGCAGUUUUGAACAAUUCUUUUGUGUGUUGUUGCAGUUAUUAAAUAUAUAUAUAUAUAUAUAUAUUAUAUACUGUUGCAGUUAUGAAAAAAAACUGAAUUGUAUGUGGUUGCAGUUGUGAUCUAAUUUAAACUUUUGGGCUUAUUUUUUUAUUGGAAUAUUGUUGCAGUUUAGCUAUAAUCUCUAUACUGGUAUAUUGUUGCAGUUUUGUACAAAGAAUAUUAGUAAAUUGCAGUCCUGAACAAACUAUUUGUAUAUUCUUGCAGAUUGGUCAAUAAAUUAUUAAAACACA